GCACUGCUUAGAAGUCCCACAAUAGGACGAAACGGCCGUCCAGUGC
rfam:Schistosoma mansoni strain Puerto Rico chromosome 4, complete genome